rnacentral:lncRNA from 1 species
GGGAAAUAGAAGAAAAAGAAAGAAUAAAAGCAGAAGAAUGCACUUCUUCUUUCCUUUUUCUUACUAUUUUACUUUUCUUUCUUCUUCUGUUUCUUCUUCUUCCUCCUCUUCUUCUAGUCUUCUUCUUCUUCUUCUAGUCUUCUUCUUCUUCUUCCAGACUUCUUAUUAUUCUUCAUCUAGUCUUCUUCUUCUUCUUCUACUCGUUCUUCAUUUUCUUCAUCACUUCAUCAUCAUAUUCUUCUUCUUCUUCUUCCUCUAAUCUUCUUCUUCUUCUUGUAGUCUUCUUCUUCUUCUAGUCUUCAUCUUCUUCAUCACAUGUUCUUCUUCUUCUUCUUCUUCUUCUUCUUCUUCUUCUUCUUCUUCUUCUUCUUCUAGUCUUCUUCUUCUUCUU